GAUGAACGCUGGCGGCGUGCCUAAUACAUGCAAGUCGAGCGAAUGGAUUAAGAGCUUGCUCUUAUGAAGUUAGCGGCGGACGGGUGAGUAACACGUGGGUAACCUGCCCAUAAGACUGGGAUAACUCCGGGAAACCGGGGCUAAUACCGGAUAACAUUUGAACCGCAUGGUUCGAAAUUGAAAGGCGGCUUCGGCUGUCACUUAUGGAUGGACCCGCGUCGCAUUAGCUAGUUGGUGAGGUAACGGCUCACCAAGGCAACGAUGCGUAGCCGACCUGCGAGGGGGAUCGGCCACGCUGGGACUGAGAAACGGCCCAGACUCCUACGGGAGGCAGCAGUAGGGAAUCUUCCGCAAUGGACGAAAGUCUGACGGAGCAACGCCGCGUGAGUGAUGAAGGCUUUCGGGUCGUAAAACUCUGUUGUUAGGGAAGAACAAGUGCUAGUUGAAUAAGCUGGCACCUUGACGGUACCUAACCAGAAAGCCACGGCUAACUACGUGCCAGCCGCCGCCGUAA
rnacentral:rRNA from 1 species